rnacentral:miRNA from 1 species
UGGUAUGUAACUUAGAAGUUU